AUGAAGAGGGAGAUGGGAGUAGGUGCAGUUUAUAAGAGGGUCCGUAUCAUAUUUCUAUCGCCAUACUAACAGAGGCUGAUGCGCCUCCACGCGCUAUUGGCUCAGGGGAAUUUCCAUUUGAUGCCGGAAAUGGACGUGGCAAGAUGACAAAUUAAAGAUGGGUUUCCUGUUUCAAAUCUAUUCAAGAUAUCAACAGUCAGUUGGCUUCUGACCCUUUUCCUCCAGCUCUCUCUCUCUCUAAUGUCCCGAUAGCGCUCUUGGGGGCUCUGCAGGAUAUCCCCUUCAAAAUCAAAUGGCCCGGGGCAGACUUCACCCUGUCAACUUCAGGAGGCCUGUACAAAGAUGACUCUGUCAUCAUGACAACUGCAGAAAAAGAAAAGUACAAAUGUGUAUUGCCAUCUUUAUCCAGCAACCAGGAGGUGUUGUUAUGCAUGGCCAAAUUUUUAGUUAUUAACAGAUCGAGUCAUACUGGACAUAUAAAGUGUGCCACGGGAAGCAUGUACGGGAGUACCAUGAAGACAAGGAGACGGGGCAGAAGAUCAACAUUCAGGAAUACUAUCUGGGUACCAUGAAUAAUUAGCACCAGGUGCCAGAUUAACACUAAUAAAUUGGGUCGUAUCUCACUUUUAUGGCCAUGGAGAUGUUUGACCUAACUGGGAAACUGAGACAGGUUCUAGUCAAACUCAAGUGUAAGGAGUCAGAGUCUCCUCAUGCUGUUACAGUUUACAUGCUGGAACCUCAGACCUGUCAGUAUGUUCUUGGGGUUGAGUCGCCUAUAAUAUGCAAGAUCUUGGACACUGCAGAUGAAAAUGGAUUUCUUUCAAUCCCUAGCUAGCCUAAACAGAGGAAUACAUUUUGGUUCAGAGAAUGAACAAUACAGAAGAGGAAGGCAGUAUGACUGUCAGAGGGAGAGAUAAAGGUCUGAUAAAGUCUAGUUCCAUAGAUCAUGGUGGUGAUAUGGACUUGCUGAACCCACCCUUUGAGGAAGUCCCUCACUUUCUCUUGAAGACUAAACAAGGAGGAGAUUUGAUGUAACUUUUAUUAACCUGGAGAUGCAGCUAGGACUGAAUCUUCAAUGUUUUAUUUAGAAAUCUCAAACCUGUUGAAGAAUAUUUUUGGUCAGCUUUUUUAUAGUUUGGCACAUUUAAAUGGUUUGCUUUGGGAAAAUCACUUUAAAAUCUAAUCAAAUGAUUAAUUUGUUCUGUUAAUCAACUGAUUAUACAAGCUGGUCAGCUGUUUUUAAAUAUACAGUAUUUAUUUGAUAACUUCUGGUAGUUCAGUGCUUGCCAUCAUCACUGUGCAUAUGAAAAUGGUUAUAUUGUUUUUAAAGUGAUAGAAGUAGUAAUGGUGCAAUGCAAACUGCAAGGGAAAAUACAUGUCUUGUAUGCAUCUUUAUUUUUUUGGCAAUCAUGGGUCAUUAAUUUAUGUUCACAAUUUGUGAUUAACCUCUGUCAACCAUUGCUGGUUCUUUCUCAGCCUGUACAUGUUCAGAUGAAUAAAAUGAGUUUCAUGUUUCAA